rnacentral:rRNA from 1 species
CAGUAGCCACGGUAAUACGUAGGUGGCAAGCGUUGUCCGGAAUUAUUGGGCGUAAAGGGCUCGCAGGCGGUUUCUUAAGUCUGAUGUGAAAGCCCCCGGCUCAACCGGGGAGGGUCAUUGGAAACUGGGAAACUUGAGUGCAGAAGAGGAGGGUGGAAUCCCACGUGUAGCGGUGAAAUGCGUAGAGAUGUGGAGGAACACCGGUGGCGAAGGCGACUCUCUGGUCUGUAACUGACGCUGAGGAGCGAAAGCGUGGGGAGCGAACAGGAUCAGAUACCCCUGUAGUCCCUGUCUCUUAUAC